GUGAAUCAUCGAAUCUUUGAACGCACAUUGCGCCCAUUGGUAUUCCGAUGGGCAUGCCUGUUCGAGCGUCAUUAUCCUCCCUCAAACCUCGUGUUUGGUGUUGGACCGCGUUGGUCGAGCGACCAACUGGUCUCAAAGACAAUGACGGCGUCCGUGGGACCCUCGGUGCAACGAGCUUCUAAGGAGCACGCGUCGAGUUUCAAGGACCCUCCGGGCCGGUCUUGACCUCUAUCUUCUCAAGGUUGACCUCGGAUCAGGUAGGAAUACCCGCUGAACUUAAGCAUAUCAAUAAGCGGAGGA
rnacentral:misc_RNA from 1 species